GUGGGAAGUGGAGGAACCGUUUCUGGGGUUCGCGUCUCGCUCCUCCCGCGGUCCUCCAGAGUCCCCCGCUGCGGCCCCGCGAGGCGGACCGGUAGGGGAGCCUGCGCGGCGUCUUGGUUGGGUCGGGCCGAGGAGGCGUGGGCGCUGGCCUCUGCGGCGCCCGGGACGGCGGAGACCACCGCCUCCAUUCCCGCUUUACAUUGCUCAGCUCCCUGUACCAAUGAGAGUAGAUCUAAAUCCCGGUGUCUGUGAACUCUGCAUCACCAGAGGACAUAAGUGAAGAACCUAGUUUUAGUCAAGCACACAAAGUAGACAGGUGCAUGACAAGACAGUGAGAAUCAGAUGGAUCCAUGCAUCUAAUCGUUAGACAUAAGCAUGAACUGAUAUUUCCAAAUUAAGUGGCAUCAGAAAGAAGAAAAACGCCUGUUUCUCAAGGUGUGGAAUGCCGGAACUCUUUGUUUCAAAAGUUGCUGAGAGGAAGAGAAGAAAAGAGAGACAAAACUGAGAUAAAAUAUUUAAUAGGGAAGAAUAGGUAAGGCAGCAGGUCCACCAAAGACCAACCUUUUUACAGCACUGAAUGUGGACUGGGCUUCAGGAUGAACGGAAGUCUUACUAAACCUGACAUUAGACAUGUAGGGCAGAAACCCUUUGUAUGCAAGGAAUGUGGAAAGAACUACAGUCGGAAGUAUGCACUUACUUUACGUGCAAGGACUCAUACAGGAGAAAAACCAUAUCACUGCAUGGAAUGUGGGAAGAGAUUCAGUAAUACUGGAAAUUUUACUGAGCAUCAAAAGACCCACACCGGGGAGAAGCCAUAUCAAUGUGUGGAAUGUGGAAAGAGUUUUCGUCAGAAGGGUUAUCUUUCUAUACAUGAAAGAAUCCACAGGGGAGAGAAGCCUUACAAAUGCAUGGAAUGUGGUAAGACCUUCACUUCCAGUUAUUCCCUAAAUCUGCAUCACAGACGCCACACAGGGAAGAAACCAUAUAAGUGUAUGGAAUGUGGAAAGAGCUUCAGUGUGUGUGCAUCUCUUACACUGCAUCAUAGAACUCACACAGGCAAAAAGUUGUAUUGCAAGCUACAGCAAUAUGCAAUUCAGACUGGAAUCAGGAAAAAACUAUUGGUAGGGGAAAAUGUAGUCUCUCUUCCUUGUCUCUGAGCUUCCUCGGUUGUCACUUUACUCUGCAGUAUUUUCCAAUACUUUCCAUGGCUCACAAACUGAAAUACCUGUCCAGUGAGAAAUUGUCCCUUCCGGACAAUGAUCACAUCUGUAGCAGCAAACCGGCUUCCCCUCUGGAACUUUUCUCUGCUGCCCUGGAGAGCACCUCUCCACACACCUUCCAAAAGGCAUCUUCUGCAAAGGAAAGCACAAAUGGUCAAGGUUAAAGUGACAUGCAUUGCACAAAAUGCGGUGGCUCAUUGGAGUUCCCUCUUUCUUUCUGUAAAGAAUUGCCCAUUGAAGUAUAUUUGAAAUAUUUCUGAAUGUCUGAAGGUCACUUGAAACCCUCAAACUUGUAUGGUAGAUAAAAAUUGUAUUGCUGCAAGCUGAAGGGAGAGGGGUUCCCAAAACCAUUCCCUGCUGUUCCAUUGACCUCAGGGGGUUCAGUUAACCUAUUCACCCCUCCAUGCAGUGAAUGGCCCAGAGUGCUAUAUUUCUCUGCAUAGAGGAACAAAUCUGGUUCAACAACCCUUUGGUCAGGAGCUAGGUUUCCUCCCUUCUCUCUCUCAAACCAAGAGCACUAUCUUUGGCCAGAGUUCUUUAGUCCCAGUGCACAACAAGCAAGUAUAGCCAGUAAAUGUUGUGAGCUGCCCCGAGGCUUCGGCGAAUGGGGCGGCAUAGAAAAGUUUGAAAGAAAGAAAGAAAGAAAGACCCCCC